CUAUGUUGGUGUAUGCAUGCCUUAAUUGCACCAGAUCCCUUCUGUCCUUGAAAGCUAAUCAGGGUGAGCCUUGGUUAGUACUUGGAUGGGAGGCCACUAGUGAAUGCCAGCUGCUGGAUAGA
rnacentral:rRNA from 1 species